rnacentral:rRNA from 1 species
GAUGAACGCUGGCGGCGUGCCUAAUACAUGCAAGUCGAGCGAACGGACGAGAAGCUUGCUUUUCUGAUGUUAGCGGCGGACGUGUGAGUAACACGUGUAUAACCUACCUAUAAGACUGGGAUAACUUCGGGAAACCGGAUCUAAUACCGGAUAAUAUUUUGAACCGCAUGGUUCAAAAGUGAAAUACGGUCUUGCUGUCACUUAUAGAUGGAUCCGCGCUGCAUUAGCUAGUUGGUAAGGUAACGGCUUACCAAGGCAACGAUGCAUAGCCGACCUGAGAGGGUGAUCGGCAAAACGGGAACUGAGACACGGUCAAGACUCCUACGGGAGGAAGCAGUAGGGAAUCUUCCGCAAUGGGCGAAAGCAUGACGGAGCAACGCCGCGUGAGGGAUGAAGGUCUUCGGAUCGUAAAACUCUGUUAUUAGGGAAGAACAUAUGUGUAAGUAACUGUGCACAUCUUGACGGUACCUAAUCAGAAAGCCACGGCUAACUACGUG